UACGGAGGGUGCAAGCGUUAUCCGGAUUCACUGGGUUUAAAGGGUGCGUAGGUGGAGUGGUAAGUCAGUGGUGAAAUCUCCAAGCUUAACUUGGAAACUGCCGUUGAUACUAUCAUUCUUGAAUAUCGUGGAGGUAAGCGGAAUAUGUCGUGUAGCGGUGAAAUGCUUAGAUAUGACAUAGAACACCGAUUGCGAAGGCAGCUUGCUACACGAUCAUUGACACUGAGGCACGAAAGCGUGGGGAUCAAACAGG
rnacentral:rRNA from 1 species